GCACCUGUGGCGGAACUGGCAGACGCGCCAGAUUUAGGAUCUGGUAUCGAGAGAUGUGCAGGUUCGAUUCCUGUCAGGUGCACCA
rnacentral:tRNA from 1 species